GGCUCAGAACGAACGCUGGCGGCGUGGAUUAGGCAUGCAAGUCGAGCGAGAAAGUCCCCUUCGGGGGGCGAGUACAGCGGCGACCUGGUGAGUAACAGGUGGGCAACGUGCCCUUGAGUGGGGGACAACCUUCAGAAAUGGAGGCUAAUACCGCAUUCGGUCUUGGAGCCGCAUGACUCCAAGUCGAAAGGCCCUUCGGGGCCGCUCGAGGAUCGGCCCGCCCCCGAUUAGCUUGUUGGUGGGGUAACGGCCUAGCAAGGCUACGAUCGGUAGCUGGUCUGAGAGGAUGGCCAGCCACACUGGAACUGAGAUACGGUCCAGACUCCUACGGGAGGCAGCAGUCUAGAGGCUUCGGCAAUGGACGAAAGUCUGACCGAGCGACGCCGCGUGUGGGAUGAAAGCCGUGAGGUCGUAAACCACUGUCAACGGGGAAGAAUGCCUGGAUGGUGAAUCCAGGAGGGACGGUACCCGUGGAGGAAGCCCCGGCUAACUACGUGCCAGCAGCCGCGGUAAUACGUAGGGGGCGAGCGUUGUUCGGAUUUACUGGGCGUAAAGCGUGCGUAGGCGGUUUGGCAAGUCCGGCGUGAAAUCCACACCACUCAACGGGUGGGUGUCGCUAGAUACUACCAAGCUAGAGGACGAGAGAGGAAAAUGGAAUUCCAGGUGUAGCGGUGGAAUGCGCAGAUAUCUGGAAGAACACCAGUGGCGAAGGCGGUUUUCUGGCUCGUUUCUGACGCUGAUGCACGAAAGCCAGGGGAGCGAACGGGAUUAGAUACCCCGGUAGUCCUGGCUGUAAACGGUGAGUGCUAGGUGUGGGGGGUAUCGACCCCCUCUGUGCCGCAGCUAACGCAAUAAGCACUCCGCCUGGGAAGUACGGGCGCAAGGUUCCAACUCAAAU
rnacentral:rRNA from 1 species